GAAUCACAAAGAUGGACAGACUUGAUACAAUCUUGAAAAUGGAAUAUACAAGCUCUGCUAUACAUUACUAAAUAGCACUGUCCAAACUCAUCCAUAUGAUUGAGAAUCUGAGACAAGCUAGCUUUAAAUAUCAAUUUAAAGUCCAAAGCAUCAAACUGUCAAAAAAUUUGCAACCGUUAUGCCAACCAAUAUCCAAAUUCAUCCAUACAUAUUUUAACAUCAAAACCAGCAUCCAAAUUCAGAGAUAAGUCAGACAACCAACAUCCACCAAGUCACACAAAUAGAAAAAACAAAGACAAAGUGUCAACAUUCAAGUGAAUGUCUUCAAAAGGCAAUGUCAAUUGUCAAGAAAUAACCAUACUUAAAAAAGUGAAACAAAUUUUGCAAUUAAAGCAGUAAAACAGCAACUUCUUGUCCAUUCCACGAUAAUCCUUUCCAACUUUUGCUUAUGAAUUCCAGAUAUGUCAACUGCAGGCCCUAUCACAAAAAAAUAAUUUAAGUAAUAAAAUAGUAGUGGUAAAAUCUAAAACAACAUAUUUGAAGAGGAAUCGAAGUAUUAAACACAAACUAUGUACCUUUCCAAUUAUCACAUUUGUUUUAUGGGAAGUAGAAUCUCUUUUGCUGCCUUUAAUUUCUGCAAAAUAAUAAUAAUAAUAAUAAGAAUAACAAUAAGUAAUAAACUAAUGUUGUAUCAAUAACAUGAAUUUGAAAGUGCCAUUCACAAACUACUUUUAAGAGCUUUUCUAUACAGAUUUUGCAGGAAUCACUUGAAAACCAUGAGUCUCAAAAGGUCGUCAGAACUUAUCCUUUACUAGGGAGAAAUUAUCAUUGUAAUAGACAUUGGAAUACUGAAUUCUUUUGUAUCAUAACUCUAAUUGCAACUCAAUCCAUUCUCUAUAAAAAAAACAUGCCUAAAACGAAAAGAAAAUGAUCCUUGCCUUGAAGUCCAUUAUUGUAAUCAUUUGAGCAUCUGAUCAAAUAAAGAAAGCCAACUACCAAAGCAUGAAUAUAUAUGGUAGUCUUUUAGUGUUAAAGGAGAACAGUUGCAAGUCAUUGCCUUACAAAAACUAGCCAGCCUUGUCUAGCGGUUUUUUCAUUUAGAAACAAACAUUUAAUAAUGGCGGCAUUCCACAAAUCUAGCAAUAUACCCGGAGGAGAAACUUUAUUAUUACUAUUUUGCUUUAACAAUUAGUACUAGCAUUUCUCUGCUUCCUCAAAUUAAAGUUAAAAAAUCAUUGAUUUUCCAAAAAAAAAAAAAGAAGAUCCAAAAAAUCUAUAUUCCAUCUACAAGCUUUUCGGAAAGUAUAAAAUCCUAAACCCCAAUUCUGAAAUUUAAUAGUAGAAAACCAAAAAAAAAAAGAAGAAAACCUCAUAUUUAUUUUUUUUCUCAUUUCGGAUACACUCAGUUCAUUUUGAACUCAACUAAAUUAAAUUGUUAAAAACCUGCCUAAUCUCAAAGGGCCCUAAAUAAAUACUCAGAAUUCUAGUCUAGUCCAGCAGAGAGGGCGUUGAAUUGCAUAUUAAGGUGCAGAUUCACAAAGGAGAAGGUCCGAGCACUUGGUAAUUCGAAGGUAAGCCCAAGGUGUAGAUUCUCUAAAGGUCUCUAAUUAUUCAUCUUCGAUGACCAAAGAAAGCUGAUAAGCAAAAGAAUGAAAAGCAUUCGAAGCCACAAAGUACAAAAAGGAUCACAUCUUACCUUCUGCACGCCUGCACCUGCUUCCAAGAUCCACCUUCCGCUAGCUGCACGGCUACACUUGUUGCACAAUCCACUUCCAAUCGACGGAGGAUGACAAUAGAGAAAAGAAACGACUGGAGUUAAAUCUUGCCGAAUGAGUUUGAUUUGGAAUUGGGAUUAGGGAUUGAGGUGAGGAAUUGGGAUUUUAGGGAUUGAGGUGAGGAGCUCUUCAAGAAGACGGCGGACAAGAUUCUGAAGUUGCU
rnacentral:lncRNA from 1 species